GGAUUCCCCUAGUAACUGCGAGUGAAGCGGGAAAAGCUCAAAUUUAAAAUCUGGCGUGCCUUUGGUCGUCCGAGUUGUAGUCUGGAGAAGUGUUUUCCGCGCUGGACCAUGUACAAGUCCCUUGGAAUAGGGCGUCAUAGAGGGUGAGAAUCCCGUCUUUGACAUGGACUACCAGUGCUUUGUGAUGCGCUCUCAAAGAGUCGAGUUGUUUGGGAAUGCAGCUCAAAAUGGGUGGUAAAUUCCAUCUAAAGCUAAAUACAGGCGAGAGACCGAUAGCGAACAAGUACCGUGAGGGAAAGAUGAAAAGCACUUUGGAAAGAGAGUUAAACAGUACGUGAAAUUGCUGAAAGGGAAACGCUUGAAGUCAGUCGUGUCUGCUGGGACUCAGCCUUGCUUCUGCUUGGUGCACUUUCCAGUUUGACAGGCCAGCAUCAAUUUUGACUGUUGGAAAAAGAUUGGGGGAAUGUGGCAUCUUCGGGUGUGUUAUAGCCCUUUAUUGCAUACAACAGUUGGGAUUGAGGACUGCAGCAUGCCUUUAUGGCCAGGGUUCGCCCAUGUACAUGCUUAGGAUGCUGGCAUAAUAGCUUUAAGCGACCCGUCUUGAAACACGGACCAAGGAGUCUAACAUGCCUGCGAGUGUUUGGGUGGAAAACCCGAGUGCGUAAUGAAAGUGAUAGUUGAGACCUUUGUCAUGGAGGGCAUCGACGCCUGGACUUGAUCUACGGAGACGGUUCCACGGUAGAGCAUGUAUGUUGGGACCCGAAAGAUGGUGAACUAUGCCUGAAUAGGGUGAAGCCAGAGGAAACUCUGGUGGAGGCUCGUAGCGAUUCUGACGUGCAAAUCGAUCGUCAAAUUUGGGUAUAGGGGCGAAAGACUAAUCGAACCAUCUAGUAGCUGGUUCCUGC
rnacentral:rRNA from 1 species